UUCAUGCUGUUGACGCAGAAUCAGUAGGCAGGAAGAAUAAAAAGGUCCAGAGAGUCGGCGGUUGCUGCGAGCCGAACCUGCUUCCAGGCUGAACUUACAACUGCUGAGGUUGUGUUUGCACUUUUGCAAAGACACGGAUGGGUCCGUUAUCGCCUGGAGUGGCUGAAGUGUUUUGAAUAGAUUCUUCAGCAAUUCAGGUGGUACCGCGGGGAAUAACACCUCGUCCUGUAG
rnacentral:ncRNA from 1 species